CUCCGUGCCAGCAGCCGCGGUAAUACGGAGGGUGCGAGCGUUAAUCGGAAUUACUGGGCGUAAAGCGCAUGCAGGUGGUUUGUUAAGUCAGAUGUGAAAGCCCGGGGCUCAACCUCGGAAUUGCAUUUGAAAACUGGCAAACUAGAGUACUGUAGAGGGGGUAGGAAUUUCAGGUGUAGCGGUGAAAUGCGUAGAGAUCUGAAGGAAUACCGGUGGCGAAGGCGGCCCCCUGGACAGAUACUGACACUCAGAUGCGAAAGCGUGGGGAGCAAACAGGAUUAGAUACCCUGGUAG
rnacentral:rRNA from 1 species